rnacentral:miRNA from 1 species
CAGCAGACACAUUCCAGCCAAUCAGCAGCAGACCCUCCCUCCCAGACCCUCUCACCUCCUGGACAGCAUCCAUUUUACAUUCAUUGUGAAGCUGCAUUCUUAGUGAGCUGUCCAGGAGGUGGGAGGGUCUGGGAGGGAGGGUCUGCUGGUGAUUGGCUGGAAUGUGUCUGCUG